rnacentral:lncRNA from 1 species
AGUUUGUAACUCGCAAGUGAUAAUGGUAUCUUGCAAAAUCGUAUUUCCAAGACCGAGGGUAAUACACUAAUACUCCGUAUGCAGUACCUAUGUAGCAGUGGCAUAUUUGUUGGGCAAUAGACAAAAUGUGCCAAUAGACAAUUUGUGUCACGGUAGACUAGUUAAGUUAAGUUGUGUCACUGUAGACUAGUUAAGUUAAGUAAAUUCACGUUAAACAAGUCCAAGCGGAGUAUGUGAAACAACAGCGGAGGCGGCCGAUCCUAGCCAAACCUCGUGGUGACGAUAACACGAUCUAGCCGUACCGUUGUAACCGUCCAUCCUUGUGCUGCGGGUGAUCGAACGGCCAGGGAAAUCCGGGGUUUGGACUAGGCGGUAGCUUUGAUGUGACUAUUUUUCUAUCCCUGUCAUGAUGUGUCAGUGGACCCCAAUUGUGUAUUGUCUUGUCAACCGGCCGACCCGUCCGGUCAAGUUUACUGUGCGUUCAGGACAAGGAUAUUUGUCUCUCUCUCUCUCCUCUCGUCAUCCCCACUCUUGCCCAGUCCUCACUGUGCUUCUUCUUCUCCGGCCUCGUUCUGUUCCUCCGCAUCCGCUCCAAAUCCUAUACCUCCAACCUUCGUUCUGUCCUGCCGUCUAGUUCCACGCACAAAUGUGUGCCUCUCAGUGAUCUUAGUACACGGCAAGUCCACAAGAUGAGUGAAUCGAAGGUACCAACUAUUAUUAAUUUUUUUUCUGUUCUUCCUUCUACUCAAGUUCUAGUUUAAGUUCACUCAUCUUCUUUUUUUUUUCUGUUCUUCCUUCUGCUCAAGUUCAAGUUUAAGUUCACUCAUCUUCUGCCUUUAUUACUUUUUAUUGGUUUUUUCUUGUCUUCAAGUUUAUCGCUAUCCUUUUAACUUCACUAUGAACUUCAUAACGUUCACUAUGUACCUCCUGUCUUGAAUAAGUUUCGGUUCCCAUACUUAAGGUACAUUGCAAUGCAAUCUUAUAUUCAUGUCUUUCCCCUUCUAUCCUGUACUACCAUAUCUCCUGUACCUCAUGUACCUAAGCUUCCUUGCUUUCAUUAUGUAGUACCAUACUAUGUUCACUUAUUGAUGUACUCAAUUAAUAGUUCACUGAGUGUACGAUUUCAACCUCAUUGAAUUUGUGCGUACUUACGUCCAUAUAUUUACAGUUCAGAAAGUUGUCUUCCAACAAUCGUUCCGAAAUUCUUUCACCUUUUACCUGGUACAUCAUGUACAUUGAAUUUGUCCGUACUCUUACCUUCAUACAUAGCAUGUAAUCAAUAACUCUGUUCUACUCCUUCAUGUACAGUCCAAUGUACAUCAUGUACUGAAUGUUCUUACAUUCAUGCCUUACCUCCUUGAUCUCGUACAUC